rnacentral:rRNA from 1 species
AUUGAACGCUGGCGGCAUGCUUUACACAUGCAAGUCGAACGGCAGCGCGGGCUUCGGCCUGGCGGCGAGUGGCGAACGGGUGAGUAAUACAUCGGAACUUGCCCAGUAGUGGGGGAUAGCUCGGCGAAAGCCGGAUUAAUACCGCAUACGACCUGAGGGUGAAAGCGGGGGAUCUUCGGACCUCGCGCUAUUGGAACGGCCGAUGGCAGAUUAGCUAGUUGGUGGGGUAAAGGCCUACCAAGGCGACGAUCUGUAGCUGGUCUGAGAGGACGACCAGACACACUGGGACUGAGACACGGCCCAGACUCCUACGGGAGGCAGCAGUGGGGAAUUUUGGACAAUGGGCGAAAGCCUGAUCCAGCAAUGCCGCGUGUGUGAUGAAGGCCUUCGGGUUGUAAAGAACUUUUGGCGGGAACGAAAAGGACUGUGCAAAUACCACGGUUCGAUGACGGUACCCGCAGAAUAAGCACCGGCUAACUACGUG